rnacentral:rRNA from 1 species
UACGUAGGCAGCAAGCGUUGUUCGGAAUUACUGGGCGUAAAGAGUGUGUAGGCGGUGCUCUAAGUUCGGUGUGAAAUCUCCCGCUUAACUGGGAGGGUGCGCCGGAAACUGGAGUGCUCGAGCGUGGGAGAGGAAAGCGGAAUUCCUGGUGUAGCGGUGAAAUGCGUAGAUAUCGGGAGGAACACCAGUGGCGAAGGCGACUACCUGGCCUGUUCUUGACGCUGAGGCGCGAAAGCUAGGGGAGCAAACGGG